rnacentral:lncRNA from 1 species
CAUGUGUGAAUAAUAUUCCUUUAUCCUGAUUUUAAGCCUGAAUGCCUAUUCUUUUUAUUAUACCUAUCACCUUCCCAUUUGUAUCACAAUGAACCUGUUUGGGCCCUGGUCCUCCUUGGACAUUGUGCACUUUGACAUAGACAAAUAGCCUAAGUUAAGGGUGGCUACCAUAGGGGUGCGUGAUGUAAAAUGAGUAUGAAGAAAAGUAGAAUAAAAGAAAAGAAUAAAAAGUUGGGUGUGGUGGAAAAAGAAUAAGAAAAAAAGUGG